rnacentral:tRNA from 1 species
GGUGUCGUGGUGUAGUUGGUUAUCACGUCAGUCUAACACACUGAUGGUCUGCGGUUCGUGUCCGGGCGACGCCA